rnacentral:rRNA from 1 species
AUUGAACGCUGGCGGCAUGCCUUACACAUGCAAGUCGAACGGCAGCACGGGAGCAAUCCUGGUGGCGAGUGGCGAACGGGUGAGUAAUAUAUCGGAACGUGCCCAGUCGUGGGGGAUAACGCAGCGAAAGCUGUGCUAAUACCGCAUACGAUCUACGGAUGAAAGCGGGGGAUCGCAAGACCUCGCGCGAUCGGAGCGGCCGAUAACAGAUUAGCUAGUUGGUGAGGUAAAGGCUCACCAAGGCGACGAUCUGUAGCUGAUCGGAGAGGACGACCAGCCACACUGGAACUGCGACACGGUCCAGACUCCUACGGGAGGCAGCAGUGGGGAAUUUUGGACAAUGGGCGAAAGCCUGAUCCAGCAAUGCCGCGUGCAGGAUGAAGGCCUUCGGGUUGUAAACUGCUUUUGUACGGAACGAAACGGUGAGCUCUAAUACAGUUUGCUAAUGACGGUACCGUAAGAAUAAGCACCGGCUAACUACGUGCCAGCAGCCGCCGUAA